rnacentral:rRNA from 1 species
UUGCUCUUCAACGAGGAAUUCCUAGUAAGCGUGAGUCAUCAGCUCGCGUUGAUUACGUCCCUGCCCUUUGUACACACCGCCCGUCGCUACUACCGAUUGAAUGGCUUAGUGAGGUCUUGGGAUUGGCUUCGGGGAGCCGGCAACGGCACCCUGUUGCUGAGAACUUGAUCAAACUUGGUCAUUUAGAGGAAGUAAAAGUCGUAACAAGGUUUCCGUAGGUGAACCUGCGGAAGGAUCAUUAUCGAGUUUGAAAGAGGCUUUGUUAGCUGGCCCUCCGGGGCAUGUGCUCGGCCUUGCUCAUCCAUCUACACCUGUGCACCUAUUGUGGGUAUAGAGCCGGAAGGGGGGUUGGAUAACGACCUUCCAGAAGGCGCAUAUACUCAUGUUUUACACACACUAUAUAAAGUUAAGAAUGUCUACUUGCGAUAUAACGCAUAUAAAUACAACUUUCAACAACGGAUCUCUUGGCUCUCGCAUCGAUGAAGAACGCAGCGAAAUGCGAUAAGUAAUGUGAAUUGCAGAAUUCAGUGAAUCAUCGAAUCUUUGAACGCACCUUGCGCUCCUUGGUAUUCCGAGGAGCAUGCCUGUUUGAGUGUCAUGAAUAUCUCAACCCCUCUGGCUUUGUUGACAGAGGGAUUGGACUUGGGGGCUUGCUGGCGACCGUCAGCUCUCCUUGAAUGCAUUAGCUUGGACCUUUUCUACGAGGAUCCUCGGUGUGAUAAUUAUCUACGCCGUGAAGUACCUGUAGUGGCGCGUGUUACCCCGACUUUUUUUGUUGGUUGUGUAGCCGCGGGGGGGACGAGCUUAUAGUCGUCUUCGGACAAACAUACUUGACAUCUGACCUCAAAUCAGGUAGGACUACCCGCUGAACUUAAGCAUAUCAAUAAGCGGAGGA